GCGGCGCCGCGAGCUCUAGCUCGAGAGAAAGGGCAGAGCAGAAGGGGCGGCCUCCGCCCAGAGACCGCGCCCGAUACCCUCCGCGAGGACUGGGUCGGGGGUCCGCCUAGGGUCCGGGGACCGGAGAAGGCGUUUUCCAGACCCAGCCAAAGCCCCAGCCCGUCACGGCUUUCCCUCAAGACAGAGUCCGUUCCCCUCACGCCCCGCCAAAGAGACAACGCGUCAGCUCAGCGAGAUCCAGUUCUUGUCUCAAGACCAGGAAGAAUUAAGUUUGCAGACACUUGAAGACAAAGAGAAUGUUUCCAGCUGCAAGAGAGAGCUAUCAGAGAGUCUGGCCUGCUGAUUACACUGUUUAAAAUCCCAGAUGAGCAAUUCUUCUGGUCUUCAAUAUGGCUAAACAAGACAUUUGACUUUUUUGAGUAGGUACAUCCAAACAUUAUUGGUUGAUCGAAAACUAAUCAAUGUUAACUGAACUCACAAAUGGCUGAAUUAUACCCAGAUUAAUCACGUAUUAAAAUAAGGGAUGUGCUUUUCUGGUGAACAAACAGUUCUGCCCAUCUUCAAAAGUUUUUUUUAUUGCUUUAUUUAUUUAUUAGCUUUGUAUGCUUUGUUCAAGCAACUGUGUGUUUUGUUUUGUUUUUAUGGACAACCAACAUAUAACAGAAAAUGAAGCUGCUAUGAUUGAAGAUAAACAACAGACCUGCCCAGCCUCAAGCUCCCCUUCCUUUCCUUUCCUUGAGAUGUUCCCUAAGAGGGCUCUUUAGAAUCCCCAAGACUUCAAAGAAUACAGUUUAACACCAACUUAUCUGAUGGUACCAAAUGGAUAAGCAGGUUGUUUGGUGAGCCUAGACCUGAAGCAAACAAAAUUAGAGGAAUACUACAUCCAAAUUCUGGGAAAUGUCUGAUGAGUUUUUUCUAGUUCCACAAUAGUAUACGCCUAUCUGAGAGAUAGGAAUCUGCAUUCCUGAUAGAAAGAAUCACUCUGCCUUCAACAGUGCUAAACAAUAGUGGGCCAGUAAACCAGCUUGCUGAAAACAAACAAAAUAACCCAAAAAGCCCUGGCUACAGCAAUUUGGCAUUUUCUGUGGUGUAAAACACUCUCACAGUGGUCUGUCAACAGAAUUUAACAACAGCUGGCAAAAAUUUCCUGAAUGUUUGUCAGUUCUUGUAAACCUGUACUAGCUGCCUUUAGCACACACUGGCAGAA